rnacentral:lncRNA from 1 species
GUUGUGGUUGGUGUGCGGGUUUCGGUUGGAGGACUCGUUGGGGAGGUGGCCUGCGCUUGUAGAGACUGCAUCCCCGAGACGAUGGCGGAGGGAGAUAAUCGCAGCACCAACCUGCUGGCUGCAGAGACUGCAAGUCUGGAAGAACAGCUGCAAGGAUGGGGAGAAGUGAUGCUGAUGGCUGAUAAAGUCCUCCGAUGGGAAAGAGCCUGGUUUCCACCUGCCAUCAUGGGUGUGGUUUCUUUGGUGUUUCUGAUUAUCUACUAUCUAGAUCCAUCUGUUCUGUCCGGCGUUUCCUGUUUUGUUAUGUUUUUGUGCUUGGCUGACUACCUUGUUCCCAUUCUAGCGCCUAGAAUUUUUGGCUCCAAUAAAUGUACUUCAUGACCAUGAUCGUUUCCCUUGCUGCGGUUGCUUGGGUGGGACAACAAGUCCACAACCUGCUUCUCACCUACCUGAUAGUGACUUCCUUACUAUUGCUUCCUGGACUAAACCAACAUGGAAUCAUUUUGAAGUACAUUGGAAUGGCCAAGAGGGAGAUAAACAAACUUCUCAAACAAAAAGAAAAGAAAAACGAAUGAUUCAUCUGCUUUAAUCAGUGUGAUUAAUGCAGCACCCAUUGCCCCGGGAACCGUUUCUGCUGUACUAUCUGGAUACUAAAAUGUUACGGAAGUAGCUCUUUGUUCUCCCUCACUCUGCCCUUAGUUAAUAGAAAUUCAGACUCGCCAAGUAAGGCUUCGUGCAUAGUGUCUUCAUGUCGCGUAUAGUUGAGCGCGUUCUUAGCAGUUGGCUUCAUGGACAACUCAUUAGUGUUUUGACUUUUCUUACCCAGCGUUAAUUGAAUUCUUGCUUUUAGACAACUUCCUUUUUGUAGUGGUGAACCUUGCCCUUUAGUACAGUUCAAGUGAAUCUGGAUAAUUGUUCAUCUUUGCUUUAGCUUAGAUACCAUGUAGU